AUGGCUCAUUUCAUCCCAUGCCGCAAGACAACGGAUGCUCAUCAUGUGGCAAACCUAUUCUGUCGAGAAGUGAUCAGACUUCAUGGAGUUCCAAGGUCCAUUGUCUCAGACCGUGAUAGCAAGUUUCUUGCUGCAUUUUGGCUCACUUUGUGGAAGCAAUUCAACACUGAAUUGAAAUUUGCUAGCACUGCUCAUCCACAAACAGAUGGACAAACGGAAGUGGUGAACAAGUUUUUGGGUAAUUUGAUCCGUUGCAUUUGUGGAGAAAGAAAGGGACAAUGGGAUUUGGCUUUAUCUCUUGCAGAAUUCUCCUACAAUAACUCCAAGCAUAGAUCCACAGGAAGGAGCCCUUUUUCCAUUGUCUACACUAAAGUUCCAUCACAUGUGGUGGACCUGGUGAAGCUACCAUCAAGGGGAAACUCAAAAUCAGCAUUGUCCUUUGCUGAUAAUUACACCGAGUUAUUUGAAGAGAUUCGCGGUUCUUUGGAAGCACAAAAUCAGAAAUAUAACCAGCUUGCUGAUUGCAAAAGGAGGCCAAAAUCAUUCCAAGCCGGUGAUAAGGUGAUGGUCUACCUCCGAAAAGAGAGGCUGCCUUUAGGUGUUAAAGGGAAACUUAGGCAGCGAAGGUGUGGACCCUUCUCUAUCGUGAGGAAAAUAAAUGAUAAUGCUUAUGUGAUAGAUCUUCCAAGCGAUAUGGGUAUCUCCAACACUUUCAAUGUUGCGUACUUGACUCUCUACCAUCCAGAAGAAGCGCUCAAUGAAGAUAACUCGAGGGCGAGUUCCAAACAACCAGGGGAGAAUGAUGAGGAACAUGAAAAUAUAAUCAUAUGUCAAAUCUGUUUGGCUACUUUUAGAUACUUCUGUUGUGGUCUAGUAUUUCUUUUCUUUUCUUUAUCCUACCUACUGUUUUCUAGAGUCUUCUAG
rnacentral:rRNA from 1 species